GCGCUCGUAGCUCAGUUGGAUAGAGCGUCCCCCUCCUAAGGGGAAGGCCGGAGGUUCGACUCCUCUCGCGCGCACCA
rnacentral:tRNA from 1 species